rnacentral:rRNA from 1 species
UACAGAGGUCCCGAGCGUUGUUGCGGAAUUCACUGGGCGUAAAGGGGUUGCGUAGGUGGUUAGGUAAAGUCCCGGAUGAUGGAAAUCUCCAGGCUCAACCUGGAAAUGGCAAUUGGAUACUAUUUAGCUUGGAGGAGUGGGAGGGGGGACUGGAAUUCUCGGUGUAGCAGUGAAAUGCGCAGAUAUCAGGAGGAACACCGGUGGCGAAGGCGGUUCGUCUCGGGCGAUGUCCUGACGCUGAGGAGCGAAAAGUGUGGGGAGGCGAA